rnacentral:rRNA from 1 species
AUUGAACGCUGGCGGCAGGCCUAACACAUGCAAGUCGAGCGGAUGAAGGGAGCUUGCUCCUGGAUUCAGCGGCGGACGGGUGAGUAAUGCCUAGGAAUCUGCCUGGUAGUGGGGGAUAACGUCCGGAAACGGGCGCUAAUACCGCAUACGUCCUUAGGGAGAAAGUGGGGGAUCUUCGGACCUCACGCUAUCAGAUGAGCCUAGGUCGGAUUAGCUAGUUGGUGGGGUAAAGGCCUACCAAGGCGACGAUCCGUAACUGGUCUGAGAGGAUGAUCAGUCACACUGGAACUGAGACACGGUCCAGACUCCUACGGGAGGCAGCAGUGGGGAAUAUUGGACAAUGGGCGAAAGCCUGAUCCAGCCAUGCCGCGUGUGUGAAGAAGGUCUUCGGAUUGUAAGGCACUUUAAGUUGGGAGGAAGGGCAGUAAGUUAAUACCUUGCUGUUUUGACGUUACCAAAAGAAUAAGCACCGGCUAACUUCGUG